CAGCAGCCGCGGUAAUACGUAGGGGGCAAGCGUUGUCCGGAAUUAUUGGGCGUAAAGCGCGCGCAGGCGGUCAUUUAAGUCUGGUGUUUAAUCCCGGGGCUCAACCCCGGAUCGCACUGGAAACUGGGUGACUUGAGUGCAGAAGAGGAGAGUGGAAUUCCACGUGUAGCGGUGAAAUGCGUAGAUAUGUGGAGGAACACCAGUGGCGAAGGCGACUCUCUGGGCUGUAACUGACGCUGAGGCGCGAAAGCGUGGGGAGCAAACAGGAUUAGAUACCCGCGUAGUCCCUGUCUCUUAUACA
rnacentral:rRNA from 1 species